UGACGUAGGAUCCGAGCAUUAUCCGGAGUGACGUGGGUGUAAAGAGUUGCGUAGGUGGCAUAAUAAGUAGCUAGUGAAAUCUGGUGGCUCAACCAUUCAGACUAUUAGCUAAACUGUUAAGCUCGAGACCGUUAGGGGUAACUGGAAUUUCUAUGUAGGAGUGAAAUCCGUAGAUAUUAGAAAGAACACCAAUAGCGUAGGCAGGUUACUGGGACGGUUCUGACACUAAGGCACGGAAAAGCGUAGGGAGCAAACGGG
rnacentral:rRNA from 1 species